AGCGAACGCUGGCGGCAGGCUUAACACAUGCAAGUCGAGCGGGCAUAGCAAUAUGUCAGCGGCAGUCGGGUGAGUAACGCGUGGGAACGUACCUUUUGGUUCGGAACAACACAGGGAAACUGGUGCUAAUACCGGUUAAGCCCUUACGGGGAAAGAUUUAUCGCCGCAAGAUAGGCCCGCGUAUUAUUAGCUAGUUGGUGGGGUAAUGGCUAACCAAGGCGACGAUCAGUAGCUGGUCUGAGAGGAUGAUCAGCCACAUUGGGACUGAGACCCGGCCCAAACUCCUACGGGAGGCAGCAGUGGGGAAUAUUGGACAAUGGGCGCAAGCCUUAUCCAGCCAUGCCGCGUGAGUGAUGAAGGCCCUAGGGUUGUAAAGCUCUUUUGUGCGGGAAGAUAAUGACGGUACCGCAAGAAUAAGCCCCGGCUAACAACACGCCAGCCGCCGCCGUAA
rnacentral:rRNA from 1 species